UACGUAGGGACCGAGCGUUGUCCGGAAUCAUUGGGCGUAAAGAGCGUGUAGGCGGCCACUUAAGUCCUGCGUGAAAUCCUGCGGCUCAACCGCAGGCGGUCGUGGGAAACUGGGUGGCUAGAGUGCGGGAGAGGAGAGUGGAAUUCCCGAGUGUAGCGGUGAAAUUCGUAGAUAUCGGGAGGAACACCAGUGGCGAAGGCGGCGAUCUGGGAAGAUACUGACGCUGAGAAGCGAAAGCAUGGGGAGCGAACAGG
rnacentral:rRNA from 1 species